rnacentral:rRNA from 1 species
AUUGAACGCUGGCGGCAGGCCUAACACAUGCAAGUCGAACGAGUGGCGGACGGGUGAGUAAUGUCUGGGAAACUGCCUGAUGGAGGGGGAUAACUACUGGAAACGGUAGCUAAUACCGCAUACCAUCAGAUGUGCCCAGAUGGGAUUAGCUAGUUGGUGGGGUAACGGCUCACCAAGGCGACGAGCCCUAGCUGGUCUGAGAGGAUGACCAGCCACACUGGAUCUGAGACACGGUCCAGACUCCUACGGGAGGCGGCAGUGGGGAAUAGUGCACAAUGGGCGCAAGCCUGAUGCAGCCAGGCCGCGUGUAUGAAGAGGGCCUUCGGGUUGUAAAGUACUUUCGGCGGGGAGGCGUUACCCGCAGAAGAAGCACCGGCUAACUCCGUGCCAGCAGCCGCGGUAAUUC